AUUGAACGCUGGCGGCAGGCCUAACACAUGCAAGUCGAGCGAGCGGCGGACGGGUGAGUAAUGUCUGGGAAACUGCCUGAUGGAGGGGGAUAACUACUGGACACGGUAGCUAAUACCGCAUACCAUCAGAUGUGCCCAGAUGGGAUUAGCUAGUAGGUGGGGUAACGGCUCACCUAGGCGACGCUCCCUAGCUGGUCUGAGAGGAUGACCAGCCACACUGGGACUGAGACACGGUCCAGAAUCCUACGGGAGGCAGCAGUGGGGAAUAUUGCACAAUGGGCGCAAGCCUGAUGCAGCCAUGCCGCGUGUAUGAAGAAGGCCUUCGGGUUGUAAAGUACUUUCAGCAGGGAGGCGUUACCCGCAGAAGAAGCACCGGCUAACUCCGUGCCAGCAGCCGCGGUAAUAC
rnacentral:rRNA from 1 species